UGCCAGACUCCUACGGGAGGCAGCAGUGGGGAAUAUUGCACAAUGGGGGAAACCCUGAUGCAGCAACGCCGCGUGAGUGAAGAAGUAUUUCGGUAUGUAAAGCUCUAUCAGCAGGGAAGAAAAUGACGGUACCUGAGUAAGAAGCCCCGGCUAACUACGUGCCAGCAGCCGCGGUAAUACGUAGGGGGCAAGCGUUAUCCGGAUUUACUGGGUGUAAAGGGAGCGUAGACGGCGAUACAAGUCUGAAGUGAAAGCCCGGGGCUCAACCCCGGGACUGCUUUGGAAACUGUGUUGCUGGAGUGCUGGAGAGGCAAGCGGAAUUCCUAGUGUAGCGGUGAAAUGCGUAGAUAUUAGGAAGAACACCAGUGGCGAAGGCGGCUUGCUGGACAGUAACUGACGUUGAGGCUCGAAAGCGUGGGGAGCAAACAGGAUUAGAUACCCUGGUAAAU
rnacentral:rRNA from 1 species